AAACACUUCCGGAGCUGCGGGGACGACUCUUCUGGAGGAAGCAGCGCGGGCUUGACCGGCGUCGGCCCGCCGCCUCUGCUGCCGCUUCGCCCCAAUCCGGUCCCUCUGGCCCGGCCUGACCCGGUCUGGCUUGUUCGGGCUCAGCGGCCGCGAGGCCGCAGCUCCCGAUGGAAAUCAUAUUACAUAGAAUACUUGGGUGACAUCUGCCUGAGAGAUCUCCAAGAAUUACAGAUUGAGUCUCGCUCUGUUGCCCAGGCUGGAGUGCAGUGGUGCAAUCUCUGCUCACUGCAACCUCCGUCUCCCGAGAUUAAGCAGUUCUCCUGCCUCAGCCUCCUGAGUAGCUGGGAUUACAGGUGCAUGCCACCACGCCCAGCUAAUUUUUGUAUUGUUAGUAGAGAUGGGGUUUCACGUGUUAGCCAGGAUGGUCUCGAUCUCCUGACCUCGUGAUCUGCCUGCUUCGGCCUCCCAAAGUGCUGGGAUUACAGGUGUGAGCCACUGUGCCCAGCCUAAUUUUUGUAUUUUUAGUAGAGAUGGGAUUUUGCCAUGUUGGCUAGGCUGGUCUCAAUCUCCUGGCCUCAGGUGAUCUGGCCACCUGGGUCUCCCAAAGUGCCAGGAUUUUUUUUCUUUUUUUUGAGAUGGAGUCUCGCUCUGUCAUCCAGCCUGGAGUGCAGUGGUGCGAUCUCGGCUCAAUGCAAGCUCCGCCUCCCGGGUUCACGCC
rnacentral:sRNA from 1 species